GUGGGGAAUAUUGGACAAUGGGCGAAAGCCUGAUCCAGCCAUGCCGCGUGUGUGAAGAAGGUCUUCGGAUUGUAAAGCACUUUAAGUUGGGAGGAAGGGUAGUAACCUAAUACGUUGCUACUUUGACGUUACCGACAGAAUAAGCACCGGCUAACUUCGUGCCAGCAGCCGCGGUAAUACGAAGGGUGCAAGCGUUAAUCGGAAUUACUGGGCGUAAAGCGCGCGUAGGUGGUUAAGUAAGCUGGAAGUGAAAUCCCCGGGCUCAACCUGGGAACUGCUUUCAAAACUGCUGAGCUAGAGUACGGUAGAGGGUGGUGGAAUUUCCUGUGUAGCGGUGAAAUGCGUAGAUAUAGGAAGGAACACCAGUGGCGAAGGCGACCACCUGGACUGAUACUGACACUGAGGUGCGAAAGCGUGGGGAGCAAACAGGAUUAGAUACCCGUGUAGUCC
rnacentral:rRNA from 1 species